rnacentral:rRNA from 1 species
UGAAGUCGGAAUCGCUAGUAAUCGUGGAUCAGAAUGCUACGGUGAAUACGUUCCCGGGCCUUGUACACACCGCCCGUCACACCAUGGGAGUGGGCGGCAAAAGAAGUAGGUAGCUUAACCUUCGGGGGGGCGCUUACCACUUUGUGGUUCAUGACUGGGGUGAAGUCGUAACAAGGUAACCGUAGGGGAACCUGCGGUUGGAUCACCUCCUUACCAAAGAUGGCGGCUAGCUGA